rnacentral:lncRNA from 1 species
CUUCAUUCUAGAAUUCACUUAAACUCUACCAAACUGCAGGCCUCACUCUCAUAGGGACAAAGCUCAUCCUAUGAUGAUUAUCCUAUGACAGGAAAAGCAGAUUAAAUGUGUCCUUAGUACCCCCAGGGCACUGAGUUAAUCAUUCACUGUUAUUCCCUUGCCGGGAAGGUGUGAGAUGUAGAAGAGAUAAGGUAUCCCAUCCAUGCUUUUCACUCUUGGAAGCAGAAUGGAAAUUCUCUUCCUUUAUGCAGAUAUAAUUAGUGGGGACUAAGUGUUUGCUCCUAAUAACCUCUAUGAUGUUAUCUGUACAUAAGGGGAUUCAAAAAGGAUGUCUUUUUUAGUAAUAACGAUGUUAUACGAUGAAAGUCAAUCACUAACACCAAAAAAAAAUCUCUAUGAUCAAUUACAAGAGUUGUUAUACAAUUCUAAUUAUGAAAAACAAAAAAAAACCAAACAGGAAAACAGGGAGUUUCAUAAAUGAUUUGAGGCUACUAUAAUACAAACACUCUGUGCUCACUAAAAUGUUAAGAAAAUUCACACAUAUUGAAGUUUGUCCAAAAAGUAACAGCAGUUUAGAUAAGCUCAUAAACAUGGUUUGCUCCCAAGCCAAAGUGUAUCAACCCAAGUCAUGUUGUUUGGAGAAUCUGAAGAAAGUGUGAAAAUUUCUAUCAUCCCCACAAAGAAGAGAUAGGAGAUCAGGAGAAUAGAGAGGAGAGAUGGGUUGUACUCAAAAAGAGCAAUGAACACCUGCCUUGUGUGCAGCAUGGGUUUCUCACAAGUGCUGACAUGGGCAAACACUCCAGGGAUCAGGGGGAAUUGGUGAUCUAGUAAAAUAUGGUCUUUAGCUAAAGGUCAAAUGAAAUUGUACUGGAAACCUUGGGGAUACUUUAAAGUGGGAACUAAAGACAGGGGCUGCUCAUUAGAGCUUUUGCUUAAGUACCAGUUUCACUUUAUCAGGGAAAUUGUUCAUUUGUGUGAAAAUGUGACCUCUGUCAGUUUGCCAAGCAGGCUGGACCCUGGGGUGAUCUCAGGCUCACGUGUGCCUGCAGAAGUUAAAGCUACCUGGGGACUACUUUCAAAGGACAUUGCCAAGGAGGUGGAAAAGGUCGAGUCAUGCUGAACAUUAAGAUUGGAAAUAGGUAAGCCAGCACAAGCCAACAUGCAGUGCAGCUCACUGUCACAGCCAGAAGGAGCUAAUUGUAUUAGUUAUGGUAAUAGUGCCCUCCAGAGGAAUUCUGCAGGAAUUCGAAAGGCAUAGGGAAAAUUAAAGGUGGUGAAGAUAAUGGAUUUAAAUACAUACUUAUAAAGCAAGUUAACAUAUUAAUCUUGCCUAGAUAAUUAAAAUAUACUUAGAAUAUAUUUUAAAUUUAGUGCUGAAAGCUAACACUAUCUUCAUAAAAAUAUCAACAAGCAAACAUGAUUUAAAUAUUUUAGGCCAUUUGUGAAUCCAUACUUAUAUUCUUGGUAUAUUCUAAAAAAUGUGAUAUGUUAUUUUAAAGUUAAAUCCAGGAAACAGUAAAGGACUGAGAUUAACGAGUUUAAAUUUGUGAUCCUGUUGUUACUUUUCCUUUGUGGUAUUUCUGAGUCUUCAGAAUUUAGUGUAAACAGUGGUAUAUUCUAACAUUAAUAUCUAGUAUCAUUGAAAUGAGGCAAAAUUAUAACAAGCACGAUCAAUUAUUGAAAGUAAAUGAAAUGGGAGACUCCAAAGCACCAGAUUAUAGACAGUAAGCCCCACUUACACCACAAAAUAUUAACGAGAUAAAAAUAGGUGAUAAAUAACUAAAUGAAAAUAAGAGGCCUCUGUGUUUAUCAUUUAAAUAUUUAUACUUUCUUAAUUUUAAAGAAUGAAUAAUGAUUAUUUCACAUAAUGAUUUAUUUUAAUUAUCAUCAAAAUUGCUUCUGCUACUUUAUUAUGUUAGACACUUAGGCAAAUGCUGGGAAAAGGGAAUUCAUAUUUAAUGAUUUCACUGCUUUUUACCUCACUCACCAUUGUUAGCCACCCAUCAUAAUGAUUUUCUGCAUUUGAAAUUGUUUCUGUAAUUUACUAAAAUAGCUAUGAAUAAUUGAAAUUUUUCUCUUGACGUUUAAUAUUAUAAACCACAAAAAGAACAAGAGUGAAAAAAUAAUAACAAAGGAAUGAGAACAACAAAUAAAAAACAGUAACAAAUAUGGUAGAUAAGUUAAUUCAAUUAUAUUAACAAUCACUUUGAAUGAUCUAAAUACACAAAUUAAAAGACAUUGUCAGAGGAGAUCAAAAAAUAAGACCCAAUUAUGUGUGAUCUACAAGAAAACCACUUUAAGUAUAAAUAUACAUAUCAAAAGUAAAUGGAUUUAUAAUGCCACUACAUUAUAUAUGUAUAUAUAUUUUCCUAUUUGUCAAUCCCUAAUCAAAUAUCGUAUCUUUGGUUUUUUUUGGCCAAGCCCAGAGCAUAUGAAACUUCCACAGCCAGGGACUGAACCUGUGCCACAGUAGUGACCAAGGCCACUGAGUUGACAAUGACAGAUCCUUAACCCACUAUGCCACAAAGGAACUCAUGAAUACUAUAUCUUUUAAGUUAUUUUUGUUUAUAAUAAAUCUAGAGACCUGAAGGGUUAAGUUUUUCUUAUACUGCUCUUACUUUCAAAAUUAUCUCAGGCAAUCUUGUUCCUUUGCCCUUCCAAAUGAACAGUAAAAGAGCUUAUCAAGUUUCACAAUAUCACAUGUUGAGAUUUUGAGUUGCAUUUACUUAAUAGUUUAAUUUGAAAAACACUGCUAUCUUUAAGAUAUUGAGUGUUUGCAUCCAUGACAGCGAUAGCUCUCUCUAGUUACUUAUGUCUUGUUUUAUGUUCUUCAGUAGUAAUUGCUUUCUCUGUAAAGAUUCUAUCUUUUGUUACAUUUGUUCCUGGCCCAUUACUGUUUCCA